CGGGCACAGGGCAAUGUCUGUGGGCGCUCUCCCCCACCAGCUGACUUGUGAUCCUCCCUCAGACCAGCCCCUGUCUUCCACCGAAGCCGCAGAGCUCUCAGGUGGAGUAGGCUACAGCUGAAGGACGGUGACCAAGGUGUGCAGAGAAUAUCAGGCCAUGGAUGUGGGUGCUGACUUCCGCUCCUUUCUUGGGAGGUCCAAGAAGAAGUAAUUAAAAAAUCAUCAGCACUUCCCGUGGGAGGAUGGCAAAUGAGGAGUUCCAGGCAAGAGCUGACAGUAGGACCCCUCUGCUCUAUGGAAUAGCCAAGCAGAGUGCCAAAAGUAGUGAUUAGUAAGGAGAAAGCCAUCUGGCUUCUGUCCUUUAACAGCUCUCUUUCAGCAUCUCUCUUCCUACACACCACAAGAAAUCUCCCCCUGUUUUUAGCAACACUUUCUAGCCUUUCUGAAUGAUACUACAAGGCCCCAGACAGAAAUGAUGUGGAGAGUAAGGUGGAGAGAGAAAAAGGGGAGAGAGAUGAUAUAGUGCACAAGAAUCUGAGAUGCCUUCAGGCCUUAUCCUGAAAUAUUACCUCUGUGGCACGGGAUAUGGCAGCAGCCACUGAGGCAGUAAGUCCUUUAGAGAUAGGGGUAGUAAUAUGCUUGUUGAGAGAGUGGUGAUUGUUGGAGGCAGGUGUUUGCAGACUGACAGACAGGCAUUGCAAGGACAGGAUCCCAGGCUGAAACAAGUCCUUCUGCAAGUUGGUGAGAGACUCUGGAGCAGACUGUGCCGCUACUGAACUCCAGCAACGUGAAUCUGCCAGAGAGAGAAGAACUGGAAGCAAAGAACUGGAAGCUCUUUCUCUUAUACCAGGUGCAAGGAAGAGCAGCAGAGUCAGGUGCGUGGCCGACGGACAGAGAUGGGACCACACUUCCCUGCUGUGAGUGAGGAUCCAAAUCUAAAAUGAGACAGAUUCUGGGUGUCUAAUUCCAAGUGAUGAAUCAAAGAAUCUGAGCUUGCUGCCAGCGGGGCCUACACGGCAGGGAGUGAUGAGACAACCGCACAACGCCAAGGACAGCUUGCAGCUUGUUGGUGGAAGGCACAGAAACCUGACAGCUGACUUCAGGUGUUAACUCCUAAGGACACUGUGCCCUACUGUAAGCACAUAAAAAACUCCCCAAGGAUUCUAGUUCAAUGCAUUUGAUUACAAUCCACAAUUGCUCUAAAUCUAGCAUGUGACAAAACUUCUAUUUCUACUGUUCUUGGAUUAAAUAAGGAAAAUAAUGAGAAGGACUCCAGCUGUGGAAGCAUGUAAGGAAGUUACAGGAAAGACUGUUAGGCCUGGGAGGUUUUAUGAAGCUCAAUACUAACAGAUUUUUCUCUGUAUAGAGCAAAGACAAGAGGGAACAU